GGAUAAUAUCCCACACACAAAGGUGAGAAUUAAGUAAAUAAUCUUCUCUUGACCAUCCUCUCUUCCAUCUUCCUCUAGCUCCUUUCAACUUAUGACCGCAACAAUGAAUCUUAAAUAAACUGCUUCAAAGUCGUCAUAAUGAAGUAACUGAUAGGAUAGUACUGGCAGCCACAUUGAUGAUAAUGAACCUGAGGAUGAAGAAGCUCUGUUUGGAUGGACACGUGGGGGUGAUCUGGGACAUAGAAACCUGGAAAAGCUGAUGAAAGCUGAUUUUCCCUUGAAGAAGACAUUUGGAAUGAAGCAAUGUGACCUUUAAUCACCCUCAGACCUCUUUUUGUUCUUGUUCCAGGACAUUCUGUAAGUAAAAAUUCCCAGCCUCCUCUGUUCUUUUGUCUUCAUUUUAUAUGCCUUUGGUGUUUGAGUUGAGUUUUCUGUUGUUUAGUGGUGGAUUUUGAGGGGGUUUUAUCGUGGUAGGACAGAUAUGUUUGAGGGGAG
rnacentral:lncRNA from 1 species